CUUCACCGACCCCAGCCGCAGCGGACGGCCGGCGGGCCGGUCCUGGCCGUAGGUGGCCAGCAGCGCCUGGGCCUC
rnacentral:antisense_RNA from 1 species